AGAAUAUAUUUUAAUCAACCUUUGUGCAGAUGUAAGGAACCUAUUGAGUGACAGUCUCCAAGUAUUAAGCCACAGAAAGGUCACUCAUGAGCCAUUCAGCCCAUUAAGCUUAACACUUCUUCACAGUUAAGAUUCUUCUUCACAGGGCUUUUGGAGGAAAGAAAGAAUGAAUGAAUGAAUGAAUGAAUGAUGAAAAAAUGAAAGAACGAACAAACAUCACCUCCACACACUGCUGUGAGAAAUAAGCAACCAUUGUGGGUAGUUAUGUGAGUGCCCUGAUGGCCAUGAAAAUUGGUGAUAGAGUGGAAAAGGAAAUUAAGAACAUAUAUCUGGGUCUCAAGAGGGUGAAUGUUAAUGGAUCGUUUUCUUUUCAGGUAGUAGAACUUUUUGUCUUUAGGAAAGUCUGACUCCAUCCAAUAUCAAAACAUGCAGUGCUCUAGAGCCAUUGAAAGUCAGUGUGCCCAGAUACCAGCCCUGCACUAGAUGUGUGACCUUAGGCCAGUUCCGUAACCUCUCUUGGCUAUAGAAUAAAAAUUUCAACUCAACAGAUUGCAAGGUUAAAUAAGAUGAUAUGUGCUGAAAAAAGUGGAAAGAAAACAUGUAAAUAUAUGAAAGUCUAUAUGGGAAAUAAUAUUGAAUAAAAACAGUAAAACCAGUAUAAACCAAAAAUUAAUUUAGCAUAAUAUAAAGCAUUAGACUCUGUAGUCUAUUUGAUUUUGUGUUUGUGUAGUUAGCUGGUUUAUGUAGAGUUAGCUGUGUUUGUAUAAAGUUAACUGGUUAUAAUAAAAAUUGUAACCUAAAAAUCUUUCCAUUUCCUCAGCUCCCACCCCUCCUUCCUCUUGUUCUUCCAUCUUCCUGUCUCCUUUCCCCAAGAGUAAUAAGUGUUAGUUAAGGUCAUGGAACAACCAGACCAGAACUGUCAGGUGGAACACAGUAUAUGAACUGCCUCCAAAGAUGGAGAAUCUAUUUUUCGAACUUGAAGACCAAAGAAAGAAGUUGAGCAUCCCACCAAAAUAAUAGCCAACCUUUUAGCAUCAGCACCAAAAAAUUAAAAAUCACAUUAUUUUCAAACACCAAGUCCAUAUUUUACUUAUCCCCCCACUCCCACUUCUGCCUCAGAUUCACAGACAUUGAAGAUUCAGCAUUUCUUUAGCUUCUGCUACAUAAAAACCCAAAGUCAUAGCCCUAACUUCAAAUCACCUUCUGAAGCAGGUGCCAGGUACAUAGGCUGUAAUGCCAGCCCAGCCCAGGUAUGAAUCCCAGCUCUUUCGACUCACAAGCUCAGCUACCCUGGGAAAGUUACUUCCUUACUGAGUGUCAGAGGUGAAAUGAAGGUUCUAAGUCACAGAGUUAUCAGUGUAUUACCGAGUAGCAAAGGUAGCAGCCUGCAUGCACUAAUACCUGGGAGCAGCCUGCCAGGUGAUUCCAGAAUGGCUGACUUGGGGAGGAGGGCAGGGGAGGUCAGCCUAGGUCUUCUUCCAAGAACGGACAGGCCUUUGACUAUCACCACUACAUUCUGGGAAGCAAGGCCAUGGAAGCAACCCAGAGGUUUCCAGCAAGAGACUGAACACUGAAGCCCAGCUUUCCAACAGUGUGGAACCCUGGCAGGAGAUACAAGUAGUGGCAUGUAAUUCUGUGAACAUCACAUCUUAUUCAACCCCCAAACUUCAAGGCUACUCUUUCCCCUUUCCUAGCAUCCACGCUUAUAUCCUGAUGGGCUACAGAUGCAUAAUGGAGAAUAUCUGCAUCUACUUUCAUCUAAAUCAUGGUAAAGGCUACUGAGACUGCAUUUCCAGAGGGCUUCCAUUCAGAAGGGGCUUUUCAGAUUUGAUCCACAACACAAACAGUUUCAGUGGGAAAAAUGCCAUUUUAUGCUUCUGGAAAAUGGAAGUGUCAUUCUCAGCAUGUGCCCACCAUUACUGUCUCCAUCUUCAAGCCACGUAGAGCCUUGCUUCUGAAGGCUUCUAACAUCCCGUUAUGAGUUUUUCAGCCAGAAACCUAAAAAAGUUCUUCUACAGCCAAUGACAGGUCAGGUUUCCCACCCUAAUUUAGACCACCCCUGCAUUCCAUAGUUCACUGCCUUUCAGCAUUUCUACUUGUGAAGCAGCAACUGAUUCCUGAAAAACGUUUCUUUCACAUGCUGAAAUGUGGUUCAGCAACCAGCUCAGGUCAGUGGAUCUGAUCACCAUCCCUGGCCCAGGUGAAUGCCCUGAGGAGUAGUGACCUCUGCCCACAGGCAGUGGGCACCAACCAGGCAAGGGGCAGUACACGGGCCUCCCUGCUGCCCACCCACACAGCCCAAGCCCCCAGCAGCCCCUGCAGAGCAGGUACCAGCGCCUCGUCCCUUACAAGGGGCAAAGGUCAAGGGGGCUUGAGUAAGGUGGAGCAAAGACUCCUCAAGCAGGGCACAGGCUGGGAAGCAGGUGAGGCGGGGGAGAGGAAGGCUCUUCUGGUUAUAAACAAAAAACCGACAGAUCCAGUAAGCCAGCAGUUUGGAACUGAGUAUCUGAGCCAGACAAUAAGCUUUUAAAACCAUAAAGUACAAGCGCAGCACAACACCCUAUGUCAGAGCUCUGCCCCGGUCUUGUGAAAAGCACCAAGGGCCCCUAAGCAGCCGGGAGGCGCCUAAGUGGCCGGGAGGAGCGUGGGAUGUCCCAAGCGGCUCACCGGAGCAAAGAACACAGACACGCCAGCUAGGAGGUGCAGGCCGGGACAGGCAGCUCAGCCAGGCCUGCCUAAUUGACAAAGGCUCCUAAUGAGUAGGAUAAACACCAUUCGGGGCCAUUUGCUGUGAAAUGGACUAGGGUAGAUGAGAAAUCGCCCUGUAUGGGCAGAAAGCACACACGUCAACAGAAAAUAAUGUGCUGGAAAAGUUUUAAAUUAAAGUGCCAUGCUGAGUGUGCAGAGGCAUUAAUGCUUAUAUAAUUAAUCAUUUCAUAUUUGAAGAUUGGGAUUUUUUUCCCUUUUAAUUAAUUAGCCAGUAGGCUCAUUAGAGUACAUUUUUCAUGUCAAAAAGGCAGUGGAUUCUAAGAGAAGUAAGAAGGGCUGCAGGCCAUAAGUGGUGUCAGGCCUUCUCAUACAAGGUGCUGUGAAAAGCACAGGAAACCACCAUCAUCUCUGCCCAGAAAUUUCCCGGAUAGGGGCUGGGAACCCAGAACUAGUCAAAAUGCAUGGGAUUUAUCCAAGUCCCAAGAAUGCAAGACUUCGCUGGUGCUCACUUUUUCACAAGCUGCAUUUAGCCCUUUUUUCAGGACUGCACUGACCAGAGUUGUGGCUUGCUCGGCCAGUGGAUCUGUCUUUUACUAGAAAGAGGACGGAGCAUGAGAGCUGAAGACUGGGCUCUGCCGACCACUGCUCUGGGUUCCAGCUUGGACUGCACCUUCCUCGCCAGAGACUUUGGGCAGUCACGUAAACCUCCUCAUGCUUCAGUUUACUGCUCUGUACCAUGAAGAUAAAAGCACCUACCUCAGGGCUGUUGAGAGAAGAAAAUGGAAUAAUGUGUAUAAACUGCUUACUUAGGUGCCUAGCACAAACUGAAGACUCAGAAUCGGUAGGCUUUAUUACAAGAAGAGUUGCACUUCUUUGGAAACAGAACACCACCCUUGACUUCUCCACAAACCUGCUUUUUGCACAUGCAGUAAAAUAUGCAUAAAGUUAAAUUUACCUUUUUAACCAUUUUUAAGUGUACACUUCUGUGGCAACAAGGAUUUACAUUGUUGGGCAACCAUCACCACCGUCCAGCCCCACCACAUUUUCACCUACCGCAGAUGGAACUCUGUACCCACUAAACUCCCCAUCCCCCCACCUGCCCCUCAGCC